AGUGAACGCUGGCGGUAGGCCUAACACAUGCAAGUCGAACGGCAGCACAGUAAGAGCUUGCUCUUACGGGUGGCGAGUGGCGGACGGGUGAGGAAUACAUCGGAAUCUACUUUUUAGUGGGGGAUAACGUAGGGAAACUUACGCUAAUACCGCAUACGACCUACGGGUGAAAGCAGGGGAUCUUCGGACCUUGCGCGAUUGAAUGAGCCGAUGUAGGAUUAGCUAGUUGGUGGGGUAAAGGCCCACAAAGGCGACGAUCUGUAGCUGGUCGGAGAGGAUGAUAAGCCACACGGGGACUGAGACACGGCCCAGACUCGUAAGGGAGGCAGCAGUGGGGAAGUUUGGACAAUGGGAGCAAGCAUGAUCCAGCCAUGCAGCGUGCAGGAUGAAGGCCUUCGGGUUGUAAACUGCUUUUGUACGGAACGAAAAGCCUUCUUUUAAUACAGGAGGGUCAUGACGGUACCGUAAGAAUAAGCACCGGCUAACUACGUG
rnacentral:rRNA from 1 species